GCUCACUUCAGCAGCACAUAGAGUAGUUGGAAUGCUGCAGAGAAGAUUAGCAUGGUCCCUGUGCAAGGAUGACAUGCAAAUUUGUGAAUCGUUCCAUAUUUUU